CCCAAAUCAAUCCUUGAUAUCUGCAAAUCAUUCCUAGGCUUUCCUUCCCUUCUUGUAUUCUAGAUUUGAUUUUAUUAGCUGUGAUUGUGGGAUUGACUAGCUGUAUAGAAGGGUAAAUGUAUGGUAAUAGUUUGUAUAUAUAUCAGUAACAAUGUAAGGUUCCUGUAAGGUAUGAAGAGAGAAACCAUUGUAGUUUUCUUCUCACACUUUUCUUCUCAUUCCAUUUUAUUAUGGUAUCAAAGCAGUGACUGAUCUGCCUCUUCAAACCAUGACAGAGAAACAAAACGAAAAAGCUUCCAAUUCAAAUGAUGCCUUGGGAUCAAUCAACGAUCCCUUCUUCAUUCCUCAUUCUGACAGUCCAACUGCUGUUUUAGUUUCCCCUCUCCUCUCAGGAGAUAACUAUAGAACGUGGCUUCGCGCAAUGACCAUGGCACUUCGCGCUAAAAAUAAGUUGGGCUUCGUCGACGGAACAAUCGAAAUACUCACGGAGUCCAGCAUGUUGCGUCAAUGGGAGCGAUGCAAUGAUCUGGUUAGUUCAUGGAUUCUCAACUCCACAGAAACUGCGAUCCGUGGGAGCAUUCUUUACGCUGAAACAGCUAGAGAAGUGUGGCUGGAUCUUCGUGAUCGAUUCACCCAAAUCAAUGCUCCGAAAAUCUAUCAACUGAAGCAAGCCAUUGGUAAAACAACACAAGAAGAUACUACCGUCUCCACAUAUUUUACAAGGAUGAAGGCACUAUGGGAUGAACUCAAUUCCCUCUCCACUGUACAGCCUUGCACUUGUGGCCAUGGAAAAGCGAAUGCUGCUCUCCAUCAACAAGAUCAUGCCGUGGAGUUCCUCUAAGGCCUCCAUGAGCGCUAUUCUAGUCUACGAAGUCAGAUUCUUUUAAUGGAGCCAUUUCCAAGUGCCGCCAAGAUUUAUGCUCUCGUGCGACAAGAAGAGAAGCAACAGGAAAUACACUCUUCAACCCCUUCUACAACCAUGCCCGAAGCUGCUGCAUUAAUAGCCAAUUCAGUUACUUCCAAUGGCACAGAAAACCAGUCUACACCUUCUCAAAAUCAUGCUAAUCUCAGCACCAAUUCUAGGGGUUCGGGUCAUCACCCAAAACAGAUCAUCCAAUCGGUACAACGGAAAUCCUAAUCAGCGCAACAUAGGUGGAGACCAUCGCCAAACUGAGAAACCAAGGAUGUACUGUGAUUACUGUGAUCGAAAUAACCAUAACCAAGAUACAUGUUAUAGGUUGCAUGGUUAUCCCACAGAUAAACCAAGAGGUUCCUCAAAUAACCAUAGACUUUCGAGUUCCUCUUCUUCAGGAGCUCCUCGAUCCAACGAUCGAGCAAUGGUGGCUGCUCCAUUGAUUACCCAAGACCAAUACAACAAUAUUUUGGCCAUGCUUUCUUCAGGUAGCAUUAAUUCUCAAGCCAACUUAGCAGGACCUGUCCGUGAAGAAGACGAUUGGACUGGGUAGUGCACAUGGUGGCCUUUACUACCUUCAAAACCCUUCUGCACAUUUCAUUACUGGUACACCUACCAUCGACAUUUGGCAUUGGCGGCUUGGGCAUCCUUCUCAUCAUCGGUUUUUAGAGUUAGCCAAAAAUGUUCCUUUUAUUUCUUGUUCCAAUAAAUAUGUUUGUGAUGUUUGCCCUCAAGCAAAACAAACCAGGUUGAGUUUUCCCACUAGCUCUAUUUCAUCUAUUAAACCGUUCCAAUUGAUUCAUGUUGACAUAUGGGGGAGUUUUUCCCAGCAAUCUAUGAGUGGUGCACGUUAUUUUCUUACUAUCGUGGAUGAUUUCUCAAGAUGUACUUGGGUAUACCUUAUGCGUUUUAAAUCUGAUACAAGCUAUCAUUUAAAAUCGUUUUUUUCCAUGGUGAAAACCCAGUUUCAAGGCAAAAUAACACAUGUAUUUUCUGGUGAUGGUGACUUAUUUCUUCCCCAAAUUCAACAAGUUCGUUCUGAUAAUGGGAGUGAAUUUUUGUCAAAUAAAAUGCAACACUUCUUUUCUGAAAAUGGUGUUAUUCAUCAAAGAAGUUGUGUAUCUACACCUCAACAAAAUGGCGUUGUUGAAUGGAAACACCGACAUCUCUUGGAAGUUG